CCAAUAGCGUAUAUUAGUGUUGUUGCGGUUAAAAAGCUCGUAGUUGAAUUUCGGGAUUGGGAUAUAUCGGUCAUGCCUUUAGGGACAUGAAUCGGUGUGUGAUCAAUUCUCACCUUCUGGUGAAUUGGGAUGCUCUUGGGUGUUUCGAUGAACUAGGACAUUUACUUUGAAAAAAUUAGAGUGUUUAAAGCGGGCAUUUUGCUUGAAUACAUUAGCAUGGAAUAAUAAAAUAGGACGGCAUGAUUCUAUUUUGUUGGUUUCUAGGAUCACCGUAAUGAUUAAUAGGGAUAGUUGGGGGCAUUAGUAUUCAAUUGUCAGAGGUGAAAUUCUUGGAUUUAUUGAAGACUAACUACUGCGAAAGCAUUUGCCAAGGAUGUUUUCAUUAAUCAAGAACGAAAGUUAGGGGAUCGAAGACGAUCAGAUACCGUCGUAGUCUUAACCAUAAACUAUGCCGACUAGGAAUCAGACGAUGUUAAUUUUUUAAUGACUCGUUUGGCACCUUACG
rnacentral:rRNA from 1 species